rnacentral:rRNA from 1 species
GAUGAACGCUGGCGGCGUGCCUAAUACAUGCAAGUCGAGCGAACAGACGAGGAGCUUGCUCCUCUGACGUUAUCGGCGGACGGGUGAGUAACACGUGGAUAACCUACCUAUAAGACUGGGAUAACUUCGGGAAACCGUAGCUAAUACCGGAUAAUAUAUUGAGCCGCAUGGUUCAAUAGUGAAAGACGGUUUUGCUGUCACUUAUAGAUGGAUCCGCGCCGCAUUAGCUAGUUGGUAAGGUAACGGCUUACCAAGGCAACGAUGCGUAGCCGACCUGAGAGGGUGAUCGGACAGACGGGAACUGAGAAACGGUACAGACUCCUACGGGAGGCAGCAGUAGGGAAUCUUACGCAAUGGGCGAAAGCCUGACGGAGCAACGCCGCGUGAGGGAUGAAGGUCUUAGGAUCGUAAAGCGCUGUUAGUAGGGAAGAACAAAUGUGUAAGUAACUAUGCACGUAUUGACGGUACCGAAUCAGAAAGCCACGGCUAACUACGUG